GAAAGUAUUCUUCUGUUAAAACACACAACGACAGUUAAAAUGCAUCAGUACAUUGCUCUUGUACUGUGUGAAACAAACUCCCAUUGAUCUUUUGAAUCCUGAAUCUGUAGGGAACAGAAGGCUGAGGCUACUCAUAAAAAUCUUGGCAUUCAAGGCCACACCUAUGUCAAGCUUCUACCAUGAGGCACCUUCUCUCCCAAGUCUGAAUACUGUAAGGUAGACAUGGAAACAAAUCAAUUAUCUCUACAGUUUGCUAGCCCACAUUGGCUUUAACAUUCAGAAGUACUCAUUCUUCUGAAGUGCGCAGUUGACCAAGUCACCGAGCUGGGGAGAAAUAAGUGACCCAACUAUGAAUUGUUGAGUUCUUUGGCCAUUGCAAACCCAGAUGUCGCUGCUUCUUACUCCUCCAGGUUCAUGCUAGUUAUUGUUCCUGUCAUACACCUGCACAUGCAGCAAAAGAAAAUUCAGAGAUAUAAGAUGACAGAGAGUAGAGAGCUUGUACGCCGUGCCCAUAGGCCGCCCCCUGAGCAAGUUUCAGGCAGCCGGAUGCCUUAGUUGCUCCCCUUUUCUGGUCUGUUUCUGGUUCUGGCGGACGCACGCAGGCAGGGCCAGCCCAUGGGUCGCAGCUUCAGUUCGUCGUCGGUUCAUGCAUCGCCAUUGUAGAUAAGAAGAUCUUCUCGCCCUAAGACGGUGCGCCUGACCCGCUUCUCUUGGGAGGUCGCAUUCCGUUCCAGCGGAGGAGGACCGAGCAUGGACAGGGGCUCCUGCCAUCCAGGAGGUGCACACGCUCCUUCUGCUAACGUCUCCCUAGCUCCAGACACCGCCAGCACCUCCGUCUGACGCCACCGUUAUACAAAGAGAGGGGAAAAGGAGAACGCCAGGCAAACACCUAGGCAAACGCCGGAAGCCGGGCCACCUCAUACGCGGGAACGGCAGCACCAAGGAGCACAAGCUAGAGAUGUGGAGGAGAAGAGGGGUCGAUGCUAGCUCGAUUGGGCGGCGGAUCAAGGCCCUCCAAUGGGUGCCGUCGUCUUUGCACGGACCAGCGAUGCCGUGCCUGGCUUCCGUCGUCCUCGUUCUACUGAUAACCACCACCGGGCUCAGUGGCGGCCAUUGCCGCUCCUUGCGUCUGGUGUUGGCCAGCAGUGUCUGGAAUUACCAGCGGGCAGCCUGAGAUCGACGGCCUGGAGGAUGCAUACCCUGUUGGCGCCGAGACACGUGAGGCCCAGGCGCCCAACAGCAGGAGUUGUUCCACGUUGCCCUCGUUGAUGCAGCCGAUACCCAACAGUUAUUUCGAUUCGAUUUGUUCUCAUGUUACACGAUGUGAUCAGGAGGCAGAUUUUUAUUCUCGUACGCAGUCCAAGUUGUAUACGUCGUUGUACGCAUGCACAUUACUUGGUUUGGAAACAAUUGUCACCGGCCAACGAAACGGUUUUUUAGUACCACCUCGCGUAUAUGUUUUAAAUUCAAAGUGAAAGCGUAAACUUACGGGAAGAAGCGUAUUGUGACAGUGAACCCAUGGAGUCAAUCUGUGCUUUAUUAUUAAAAAAAAUAGGGAAAGAUUGUUUGUCACCCAGGCCUUCCCCCGCCGUUGCUCCUCCUUUUUUGUUUGACGCUUCCAGGGCUGGGCCAUCCCCCUCCUCCUCCACCACCCACACUCCGACAAGUUUCCUGGGCCCGGGUCUUGUGUUUGUGGGCUUAAUUGUUUGUUUGUUCUAAACAAAAACUUGGGACAAGAUGUAGGCCUUGUGCGAAUCCAGGUCUGGGCACUUUGCUUGUAAAACAAGCUUGAUAGAAAAGAUGGCAAAAAAGUGGGGCGUUCUUUUUGUCAGGUGAGAGCAACUCUAGCAGACCCCUUAAAAACGCCAAACCUGUAAAAUUCCAGCGGGUUUACGGUUCCGGACUAAUUUUAUGUCCAGAACAGAACCCGUAAAAGUUCGCGGAACCGUAAACGUUUUACGGGCCACCGAAAACACGAGCCUCCGACCCCUACUUCUACACGUCCGAGGACAGUAUACAGGCCAUGAACCGGGUCCUUCCGCCGCCCUCUCCCCGCGCGCUGCCAUCCGUACCACCCAUCUCCAGCCGUCGAUUUCUCCCUGCUCCAACAAAAUUCUGCACUGCAAAAGGAUCGAGCGCGUGCCUGCGGCCAUGGCUGAUCCCGUUCGUGCUUGACGCGAGGAAGAGGAACGGGAUGCGGCGGCUCCGUAUUUGGGAGCUAUGGCGACAGGAGCUAGCUAGCUAGCUAGCUUGCUUCUGGAUCGAUUGGCCACGACGGGAGCUAGCGAGCUAGCUCCUGGGUCGAUCGAUUAGCUAGCUCCUGGACCGAUUCGACGUCGGCGCUAGCUAGCUUCUGGACCGAUUCGAGCAGCAACGGCGACGCGACGCUGGGGCGCUUCGUGCGAGCCGUUCUGGGCGCCCGCUUCGUGCGCUGUUCACCUGCUUCGUAGGAGCGAGCUAGCUGACCGUGGACACGGCUGAGAGGAAGAAGAAGACGUGGGGAAGAACAUACGCGAAUAUUCGGUUUUACAGUCUAAGUUUAAGGGGUCUGCUCGGCCUCACCUCAAACCGACCCUUAAAAUGCGUUUCUUGCAAACUGUAAACGCGUUAUAAGGGUCCGCGAUAUAAGGGGUCUGCUAGAGUUGCUCUGAUGAUGAUAUUGCCCCUGUCACCACCCCAGCCCCAACUCCUCUCCCCCCGAUAACCCUUGCCCCUCAUCCCCAUCCAUUCCAUCCCCUUCUUCCCAACCUCAUCUACCACAGCCGCCAUGGGUGGAUGAAAAGGGAAAGAAAUAACACACAGACAAGAAAUUGAAGAUCUGGGAAAAGGAACAAAGCAAGUUGCAGGAGAGAAAAGAAUGUCGGGCAGUGGUGCCUCUUACCAGGGUGAGUUUUCUGAAUCUUCCUCUCAAGAUCCUUCUGUGUGAUUUGCUUCUUCUGAACCCCAUCCGAAAAUCAGCAUGCUUUUGCUUGCUUCUUUCUUGAUGGGACAAAGAAUUUGGCGGUUGGUCUGUGACAAAAAAUUGAUAGUUAAUAGCAUCUAGAUCAGAGCGUGGGCAGUUGUGUUGUGGCAAAAAUAAAGAGAGACAAAAAAAACUCAUAUCUAGUUCCAGUGUGUGGCAGGUUUUUAGCUAGAUUUUAGAAGUGGUAGCUGUAGCAGAGAUUGAAAGAUCUAGAUAAAUUGACUGAACAAAUCAUUCAGUUUUCUGAAUCUUUUACAUACAGUGUAUGUGCAGUUAGAUACAGUAUGCAGUAAGUGAGAACAAAAGGGGGACAAAAACUUUAGUUAUUCAUAUAUAUUCCUCCCAUUAUUGCGUUAUAUGAUGGACAAAAAGUAUCACAAACAUGAUGUUGAGCUGGUAUGAAAAGCAUCUUGCCUGAUUACCACAGAAAGCUGCAAAUGGUUCUCAACACUACUUCUGUAUGACAAACUAAGCAGCAGUGCCUAGAGAACUAGAGAAGAUAUUGGGUAUCAUAAUUUUGACACUAAAAAAUGGCUGCAGGACAUGAAGAUAACUUUGCGGGGGAGUACAUUGGUAAACAGGCAAGUGUUUUCUCCCUCUUUUUUGACUCCUACUUCCAUAAUUGAAAUGAACAAACAAAAGUGCAGACAAAAAAGAAACUUACAAUGUAUUUAUAUUUGCAGCCUGGACAAUCCCAAUAUCCUGGAGCAUUGUUUGACCCCAGUCUCUUUGGAAUGCAAAACAAUGGAGCGAGUUUUGUGCCGAUGUUUUACCCCAACUCAUUUCCUCCUCAGGUCCUUGAGUUGCCUGUCUCAUGACCAAAAAAUACAAAGCUUAUUGUAACUGUUCCUGCAAAUAUGUACUUGAAUGAAUGAACGACAUAUGUGAGUUGCCGAGACAGGUUAUAUAUACUUGAAUGAAUGAAUGAACGACAUAUGUGUAUAGGUAUGUAUGUGUGAGAUGCUGCAUGAGUAAGGUUUCCAAUAACAUGAGCUGACUCGAAAGCGGGACCCAUGAAGAUUGAAAACAAGUCCACUUGACAAAUGUGCAUGAGCAGCACUGAGCACUAGACACUAGUAUUCCCUGUCUGAAGAUACUACAACAUCAAGCAAGUUCUUGACAUUCUUUUCCCCUUGCAUUCUCAGUAUCAACACCAAGAAUUAUGGUACUACUACCAAGCAACACCAGCAUCAUACCUCUCUCUCUCUCUCUCUCUCUCUGCUAUGUUCUGAAAAAAAUCCCCAUAAUCGAUUACUUACUUCGAUAAUAAUACAGCCAAUGAAGCUACAGUAAGGGCCUUAUUACACUAGACUUCUGAUCGGUUGCAUCGAAAUGGAUCGAACGGUUGCACCUUCUAAUACAACAUACUCCGGUUCCGUGUGAAUGAACAAAAUCAGUCUGAAAAUGAACAAAAUUCAGUCUGAAUGAAAACAAAAAUAAAUUCAGAAGUGCUGGUUGCAUUUUGGACAGUGGGCAAGGAUAUUAGAAAAUAGUCUGAAUUUUUUUCCACCACUCUGUGAAAUCACAAAAUAAUUGAACCAGAAAAGACACAACAGAAAAUAGGGCUGGCAAACAAAGUGCUCAACCGAACAACGACUCCAAGUGAAAGCGCCAGGCCACCGGCAAAACAAGACAAAAUAGCCAUGUCGCAUGAGUGUGCACCGGUGUGACACUAACAGUAUAGAGUGAAACAAAAUUCAGUCUGAAAACUUCAGUAUGUGGUAAAGUUAACAGUAUAAACUGAUUUUCACCAUAAACUAGUGUAGUAGCUAUGUGCAGCUGGUAACAAGUAAAGUUGACAAAAACCAUGAUUAUUUUAACUAGUAUAAGUGGUGUUCGCAUGGUUCCCAGCUGGAAAAACAAAGACUAGUUUAAACACACGUGCAUGGCCAGAAUAUUGGUUUGGGCACAGAGACUACAAUCUCAUUAGAACCUGAGCACAAACCAGAGAACUGCACGGGGAGAAGAAGGCCCCUACUGAGCAAGCAUAUAUAUGGGUAAAAAACAACAGAAAGAACGCCCACAGGCCACAACUGAGCAAACCUAUGGCUAUCAAACAUUUUCAUCACGAGAUAUAGCAACAAUUUUAUGCGCUCCGUCUCCUUGGAGUAAAUGCUUGAUUUCACUGAUCAAAAAGUUUAUUUGUACCAUGCUCUUCUAUCAUCGCCGCUGCAACUGAAUCAGAUCUUGAUGAGCACAUACAUAUUUAGACAGCAACAGGUACUUGUACAAAAUUUGAAAGCAGGUCCUGCAGAAGAAUAAGCAACAGAAUAAUUUUGCUAGUUGCUACAAAACAAACAACAAAAGGAAUACAGAAGCACCUAGAAUCAGAAUUGUGCGGCCCCUGGUUUUGCACGUCUGAAUCAAAACAAAUUCAGUCUGAAUACAAAGCGUGUGAAUGACCAUUGAGAAUUUCAUACUGAAUCAAACAAUUCCUCAAGCCGUUUUUCAGUGCACGGGUAGAAUUUCAGUCUAAAUCAAACCAUUUCAAUCUAAACAAACAACAAAUUCAGUCUGAAAAAAUUGGGUCUGUAUAACAAACAAAAUUCAGACUCAGAAUUCUGUCUGAAUCAAGUCCAGAUCCCACUCGCUGCCCCACCCCAUCGUCCCCAAGCUAACGCCCGCCAUUCCUCGAGCCAAGCCAACAAAAUCUACCGUGUAAGCGUGUCACCAAAUUGAACUGAGCGGAAUCAAAUAGCGUGAGGGAGACAAGGUGAGUUCCUUGCUCGUGCAGCGCGUCGGCGGCGCAGAGAUCAGGGACCCUGCGUAGAGCUCCUGAACGGUGCCGAUGGCGGGCAGCUCGUAGGCCGCGCAGACCUCGUGGAUCUUGCCGAUGGCGGGAGGCUCGUCGGCGGCCACAUCGGAG
rnacentral:lncRNA from 1 species